rnacentral:rRNA from 1 species
GCCAGCAGCCAUAUCACCCUGUAAUUCACAACUGGCAGCCCACUAAAGCUCAGCAGGUGUGAGCCUGGUCAGUACCUGGAUGGGAGUCCUCCUGGGAAAUACUAAGGUUGCUGCUAGAA